UUGUCUCAAAGAUUAAGCCAUGCAUGUCUCAGUACAAGCCAAAUUAAGGUGAAACCGCGAAAGGCUCAUUAAAUCAGUUAUGGUUCCUUAGAUCGUACCAACGUUACUUGGAUAACUGUGGUAAUUCUAGAGCUAAUACAUGCAAACAGAGCUCCGACCGGAGACGGAAGGAGCGCUUUUAUUAGAUCAAAACCAAUCGGUGGCGGUUUCGCCGUCAUCGUACAACUUGGUGACUCUGAAUAACUUUACGCUGAUCGCACGGUCUUGCACCGGCGACGCAUCUUUCAAAUGUCUGCCUUAUCAACUGUCGAUGGUAGGUUCUGCGCCUACCAUGGUUGUAACGGGUAACGGGGAAUCAGGGUUCGAUUCCGGAGAGGGAGCCUGAGAAACGGCUACCACAUCCAAGGAAGGCAGCAGGCGCGCAAAUUACCCACUCCCGGCACGGGGAGGUAGUGACGAAAAAUAACGAUACGGGACUCAUCCGAGGCCCCGUAAUCGGAAUGAGUACACUCUAAACCCUUUAACGAGGAUCAAUUGGAGGGCAAGUCUGGUGCCAGCAGCCGCGGUAAUUCCAGCUCCAAUAGCGUAUAUUAAAGUUGUUGCGGUUAAAAAGCUCGUAGUCGAAUCUGUGUCCCGCGCCGCCGGUUCAUCGUUCGCGGUGUUAACUGGCGUGCCGCGGGACGUCCUGCCGGUGGGCUUAGCUCGCNAGGGCGGCCCAACUCAAUCCCGCCGCGGUGCUCUUCAUUGAGUGUCGAGGUGGGCCGGCACGUUUACUUUGAACAAAUUAGAGUGCUUAAAGCAGGCUAAAACUUUGCCUGAAUACUGUGUGCAUGGAAUAAUGGAAUAGGACCUCGGUUCUAUUUUGUUGGUUUUCGGAACCCCGAGGUAAUGAUUAAUAGGAACGGAUGGGGGCAUUCGUAUUGCGACGUUAGAGGUGAAAUUCUUGGAUCGUCGCAAGACGGACAGAAGCGAAAGCAUUUGCCAAAAACGCUUUCAUUGAUCAAGAACGAAAGUUAGAGGUUCGAAGGCGAUCAGAUACCGCCCUAGUUCUAACCAUAAACGAUGCCAGCUAGCGAUCCGCCGACGUUCCUCCGAUGACUCGGCGGGCAGCUUCCGGGAAACCAAAGCUUUUGGGUUCCGGGGGAAGUAUGGUUGCAAAGCUGAAACUUAAAGGAAUUGACGGAAGGGCACCACCAGGAGUGGAGCCUGCGGCUUAAUU
rnacentral:rRNA from 1 species